UACGUAGGCAGCGAGCGUUGUUCGGAGUUACUGGGCGUAAAGGGUGCGCAGGCGGUGGAGCAAGUCUGUUGUGAAAUCUCCCGGCUUAACCGGGAGGGUGCGGCGGAAACUGUUCUGCUGGAGUGAGGGAGAGGCAAGGACGGAAUUCCUGGUGUAGCGGUGAAAUGCGCAGAUAUCAGGAGGAACACCGGUGGCGAAGGCGGGUCUCUGGGCAACAACUGACGCUGAGGAGCGAAAGCGUGGGGAGCGAACAGG
rnacentral:rRNA from 1 species